rnacentral:lncRNA from 1 species
CUUCCCGCACGCAGCUACGGGUUUCGGUGCUGCGCCGGUUAAGCCGGCACCAGAAACAACCUGCGACCCCACCUGGCGUGCGUCUUCCAGCACAGGGAAACGGGAUGGAAGUCAGAAGGGUCGACCACAAGGAGCUCUUACUGUGCAUCAGUUCAUCCUGCAAGUCCGCCACAUUUAGCUUCCUAUGUUACUGUCCUUUGGGGAUUCUCAAGGCUUUUCACAAAACUGGCUUCCACCUUCCUCACACACAUCCUCAUCUGGAAGAAAACUGACCUCUUCACAGAAACCCCUGACACCUUACUGACCCAGGAUCUUUGUUCAGGUGGCCAAAAGAAAAAGUUCUGCAGGCCAGGCGCGGUGGCUCACUCCUGUAAUCCCAGCACUUUGGGAGGCCGAGGCGGGCGGAUCACCUGAGGUCAGGAGUUCAAGACCAGCCUGCCCAACAUGGAGAAACCCUGUCUCUACUAAAAAUACAAAAAUCAGCCGGGUGUGCUGGUGGGCGCCUGUAAUUCCAGCUACUCCGGAGGCUGAGGCGCGAGAAUCACUUGAACCUGGGAGGGGGAGGUUGCAGUGAGCAGAGACUGAGCCACUGCACUCCAGCUUGGGUGAUAGAGUGAGACUCUGUCUCAAAAACAAAACAAAACAAAUCAAACACUGCUUUGGGCUCAAAUCCCUGAUUCUCAGUGUAUGAACUUUGCAACUUUACCUCUCUGUGCCUGCUUCCUCACUUACCAGGGAAAGUUUCAGAACUGUUGCUCCUGGCAGACACUUCGUGGACACGCAUACUCACCAUGCCUCCUUCCUGCUGACAACUGGGGACUUAAGUCACAACCUGCAGACUAGCACAGAGAAAUG